rfam:Cyclobacterium lianum strain CGMCC 1.6102 genome assembly, contig: Ga0070154_104
UUUGCCGUGAGGCAUGCAGUGAAGUAAGCCAGACUGCGGUGUCUGUACUGACGAACAGAAACCAUAUACUGAGGCCAUGAGGUCGGAUGAGGUGCCACAUCACGCCGAAGUCCUAACCUUCCGAAAGGAAGGAAGCAUCGAAAUGGUAGAUAUGGCAGGAAUAGGCACAAGGAUAUUCAC